UACGUAGGGUGCAAGCGUUGUCCGGAAUUAUUGGGCGUAAAGAGCUCGUAGGCGGUCUGUCGCGUCUGCUGUGAAAACCUAGGGCUUAACUCUGGGCGUGCAGUGGGUACGGGCAGGCUAGAGUGCGGUAGGGGAGACUGGAAUUCCUGGUGUAGCGGUGAAAUGCGCAGAUAUCAGGAGGAACACCGGUGGCGAAGGCGGCUCACUGGCCCGGAACUGACGCUGAGGUACGAAAGCGUGGGGAGCGAACAGG
rnacentral:rRNA from 1 species